rnacentral:lncRNA from 1 species
AUGCUUGCAGCGUUGCUUUCCCCAGCUCCCGGUGCUGCCGAGCCCUCGAUCCAGCAGAGCUCGGCUGCUGCUGUCACCAUCCCCUGGCUCCCAAGUGCUGCUGCCCAUGCUCGUUUUGCACGGGCCGUGCUUUAUUUCCUCGCCCGUUCCCUGCCCCCAGAGCUUUCCCAGGAGCGUUGUUCCACCCGCUGCUCUGAGGGAAAGAAGGGAAAAAAAAAAAACCCACCAGCAACAGAACCGCGUCGCUUUGGAGCUCAGUUCCUCCUUCCCUGCCCGGUGCUGCCCUCUCCAUGGGGUGUGAGCACGCAGGAGCCACGGCCGCAUCCUUCCUGCCCACGCCGAGCCGCAGAAAGGGGAACUUGUUCUUUCCUCCCUUUCUCCCUUCACCCUCCUCUGCUCCGUGUCAGAAUUCCAGCCCUGUUUCUAAUCAGGGGAAAUCCUGGCAGGCACCAAAUGUGCGCUCGCAUUCAAGGGCGAGGAGCAGAGCGUGCUGUGCAUGGAGCCUCAGCAGCCGCCCCAGGAGCGGAUCCGUCCCAGGGGCUGCAGAAACCCACCUUGCUGGGGGCUGACCCCCCCCUCCCCCCUCCACCCCAUCCCUUGGCUUUCCCACACCAGAUUCCCACCUCUCCGUGCGUUUCCCGAUGCGACGUCCUCCAUUUGUUUGGGCUUUGGGCUCCCGAGGAACUUCCAAGCGAAACCAAACCGACCCAAAUCUGCUUUUGGGCCCCUCUGCCUCCACCCUCUGCCACCGGGUUCCCCGUGCCCGUGGGGCGCUGGGCAGCACCGGGGGUCCCACGCAGACCCCCCCCUUCUCCCCGUUCCCCUUUUGGUGCCAGUGCUGCUCUUUGCACGGCCAGAACCACGGCUUCAGGGUUUGCUGCCCCAACACUGCGGGCGUUGCAUUGCACUGCGUUCCAUUGCACUGCAUUGUGUUGUGUUGCAUUGCACCGCGUUGCAUCGCAUUGUGCUGCAUUGCGUUGCACCGCACUGUGCUGCAUUGCAUUGCACCAUAUUGCAUUGUGCUGCAUUGUGUUGCAUCACCUCGCGUUGCACUGUUGCAUUGCAUCGCACCGCAUUGCAUCGCACCAUGUUGCGUUGUGUUGUGCUGCGUUGCAUUGCAUUGCGUUGGAUUGUGUUGCACUGUGUUGCACUGCACUGCACUGCAUUGCGUUGCAUCACACCGUGUUGUGUUGCAUUGCAUUGCACUGUGUUCCAUUGCACUGUGUUGCAUUGCACUGCGCUGCGUUGCAUCGUGUUGCAUUGCAUUGUGCUGCAUUGCAUUGCAUUGUGCUGCAUUGCAUUGCACCGUGUUGCAUUGCAUUGUGUCGCAUCGCAUUGCACUGUUGCACUGCGUCGCACCAUGUUGCAUUGCACUGCACCGUGUUGCGUUGCGCUGUGUUGCAUUGA